rnacentral:lncRNA from 1 species
AUAAAAAAUAUAGAAAAUUUAAAAAACGUUUCAAUCGAAAUAGCAAUAUAUUUAUUUAACAUAGAAAUUAAUAAAAUUCAUAAGAUAACAGAAUGUAAAAAAUGGAAAACAGUGCCAUAUAUGUAUCAAAAAUUAGCAGAUGAAAUGUUAAUAAAAAAAAAAGAAUAUAUAAAUCAAAUACAAAAAAAAAUGAUUUCUAAUUAUAAUUUAAUAAACUACAAAACAGCUGAUGGUAUAAUCAAAAGAAAUAACACAGAAAAUGAUACAUUAUCUCAUACACAUACGACUAAUAAUAAGGGAUACAUAAAAAAUAACCAUUUAAAACAUACAACCAUGCUUCAAAAACAGUGCCGUUUGUUUUCGCUAGGGUUAAAUAAUAAUAAUGACCAAAAUUGUAUAAGUAAAAACAAUAAUAACAAUACAAAAAGGAACAGCAUAUCAUUUCACAAUGCGGGUAAUACUAUUAUAAAUACAGGUUGUCAAAAUGAAAAAGCGAAUAGGUUUGUAAAAGAAGCAUCUGCUACAGAAACAUCUGCUACAGGAACAUCUGUAACUGAAACACCUGCAACUGAAACACCUGUAACCGAAACACCUGCAACUGAAACACCUGUAACCGAAACACCUGCAACUGAAACACCUGUAACUGAAACACCUGCAACUGAAACACCUGCAACUGAAACACCUGUAACCGAAACACCUGUAACCGAAACACCUGCUACACUAAAUUUCAACAAAACCAAACAAACAAAUUUAAAUAGUACGAAACGUGAUGCGCCAAUUAGAGACUUAAAGACUAACCAAAAUAAAAGUCAUAAAAUAGAAAACUACAAUGGUUGUUUUUAUGCUUACAAUAAUAGUGAUAAUGGUAAAAAUAAUAAUAAAGGAUUGUAUUUUUACAAUGACAGUUAUUGUGAUGAUGGAGAUAAUAAUAGUAACUGCGUCCAUGUGGAAGACCAGUCAAAUCAUAAAUCUAUAUUUAAAAAUGAAGAGAAAAAACAAUAUAAUAAAUCAAAUGAUACAUACUCUUUUGUUUUAAAUAAAAAUAAAAUAAAAGAAAAUGGAAAGAAAACUAGUAAACUAAUAAAUAAUGACAUAAAUGCCGAUAUAGGUGAUGGUUUAAAUGGAGAAUUACAAAAAGAAUUAAAAAAAAUGAUAACCGAAUCAAAUAUAAUAGAAAAAAAAAUGGCCAAACUAAAAAAAAAUAAAAAAAGCAAUGUUAUUCUAAAUGAUAAACAAAGAAGAGUUCACAAUUAUAUUAGUAGUCAUGCCAGUAACACUAAAAGAAGAAUGGCAAAUAGAUGCAGUGCUAUUAAGCAUGUAUUAAAUGAAUUAACGGAUGAUAAGCAUGGUAAAAGUGAUAAUGAUAGUAAUGGUAGCAACCGUGGUGGUAGCAAUAUCCGUAAUAUCAGAAAGCAAAGAUACAGUGAAAUAUUAUAUCCAUGUGAAUACAGAAAUAAGUUAAACGCAGAACACAAAAAAAACAUGUUUAACUUCGAAAGACACACUGUUUCUUCUUUUAUUAAAAACAUGAGCAUUCAAAAAGUAAUAAAAGAAAGAGAAAAAAAAAACGAUAACUAUAAAAACAAAAUGAAUGGCGAUUGUAAAAGCAAAAUGAAUGGCGAUUGUAAAAGCAAAAUGAAUGGCGAUUGUAAAAGCAAAAUGAAUGGCGAUUAUAAAAACCAAAAAAAUAAUGAAAAAAAUUAUAUACAAAAAAAUAGAAGGUCAUUAUCAUCAUUUGACAAUCAAACUGGUGACAAAUUACAAAAAUUACUUUUACUAAAUCAGUAUACCUUAAAAAAAAACAGUAAAUUAGAAAAUAAAUCAAACCAAUCUACCCGAUCUUAUACACAAGAGAGGCCAUGGUCAUACAUGCGAAACGGAGAUGUAAUUAAUUACAACAAACUAAACAAACUAAACAAACUAAACAAACUAAACAAACUAAACAAACCAAACAAACCAAACAAACCAAACAAACUAAACAAACCAAACAAACUAAACAAACCAAACAAACUUGAGUCUGAGUUUGAGCCUGAGCCUGAGCCUGAGUCUGAGCCUGAGUCUGAACCUGAGUCUGAGUCUGAAUCUGAAUCUGAGUCUGUCACAAAUGAAAAUGAUUGUGAUACUCCAUUACACGUUAAUAAAUGUUUAAUGCAAAACAAUAUUAUUUCUGAUAGUACAUCACCAUCUUUAAAAAACUCAUGGGCAUAUAAUUUAAGAAAUUUUAGUAAUAGUAGUAAUGUGAAGAAAAACGUUUUAAAUAAAAAUUAUCAAAAUCAAAAUUAUCAAAAUCAAAAUUAUCAAAAUAAAAAACAAAAAUCGAGU